UAUUAUUUUUAUAUCUGUGCAUCUUGAAAAUGGCAUCUCACUUUCUAUAGCAUCUCACUUUCUCUCUUGCUCUCUUAUGUUCCUCCUCUCCUUCUUUGCACGCAGCACUCCAGCCUCACUGACACCAGACUAUUGCUCCAGCCUCACAAACACACACCAGCUUCGUGUUCUUCCCGUGCUUCCAGGCACAGCCGAGGCACACACCACACCACAUCUUUGUGUUGUUCCCUUCAUCCCGGCUGCUCAAAGGUGAUCUCAAGAAACGUUCUUGGAGAAUCUAAGCUUCAUUUGGUGAUUACAGAUUAAGGUUUACUUCAAGACAUUGGACUUCAUUGAAUUUGAUUCCAUCUGCAGUUUGAAGAGUGUGUUGAAGAUCAAGUUCAUCAUCAAUCUGUGUAUUGAAUACUUGUGUGAGGAUAGCCAAAUUUGAGAGUUGGGAUUGCUCUUGUGAUUUGCAAGAGAUUGAGUCUGUUCAUCUCUUGUGUUUAGUAUUUUGAUUUGAGUGGUGUCAGGAGUGCAGUUGAGGGUUGUCAUUGUAUUCUUGUAAACUUAAUCAGUAUAGUGGAUUCCCUUCUACUAAGGUUGUUGAAGGAGGACUGGAUGUAGACUUGUGAUAGCUGAACCAGUAUAGAUUGUUGUGUCU